rnacentral:rRNA from 1 species
AGAGUUUGAUCCUGGCUCAGAAUCAACGCUGGCGGCGUGCCUAACACAUGCAAGUCGAACGAGAAAGGGUAGCAAUACCUGAGUAAAGUGGCGCACGGGUGAGUAACACGUGACUAACCUACCCUGGAGUGGGGGAUAACUGAGGGAAACCUUAGCUAAUACCGCAUAAUACCUACGGGUCAAAGCAGCAAUGCGCUUGAAGAGGAGUUCGCGGCAGAUUAGUUAGUUGGCGGGGUAAUGGCCCACCAAGACGAUGAUCUGUAUCCGGCCUGAGAGGGCGCACGGACACACUGGAACUGAAACACGGUCCAGACUCCUACGGGAGGCAGCAGUGGGGAAUUUUGCGCAAUGGGGGAAACCCUGACGCAGCAACGCCGCGUGGAGGAUGAAAUCCCUUGGGAUGUAAACUCCUUUCGAUAGGGAAGAUAAUGACGGUACCUAUAGAAGAAGCC